rnacentral:rRNA from 1 species
GACGAACGCUGGCGGCGUGCUUAACACAUGCAAGUCGAACGAGUGGCGAACGGGUGAGUAAUACGUGGGUAACCGGCCCUCUUUUUGGGAUAAGGCUUGGAAACGGGGUCUAAUACAGAAUAAAGGGGGAUGGGCUCGCGGCCUAUCAGCUUGUUGGUGGGGAGAUGGGCUACCAAGGCGGUGACGGGUAGCCGGACUGAGAGGGUGAACGGCCACUGUGGGACGGUGAUACGGCCCAGACUAUGACGGGGUGGGGCAGUUGGGGAUAUUGCCCAAUGGGCGAACGCCGGAUGCCGCGACGCCGAGGGGGGUAUGAGGGCUUUAGGGUUGUAAACGUCUUGCGCUAGCGAACCGGUAGGUGGAGAAUAAGCGCCGGCUAACUACGUGCCAGCAGCCGCGGUAAUAC